rnacentral:rRNA from 1 species
GAUGAACGCUGGCUACAGGCUUAACACAUGCAAGUCGAGGGGAAACGCCGGGGAAGCUUGCUUCCCCGGGCGUCGACCGGCGCACGGGUGAGUAACGCGUAUCCAACCUGCCUCUGACUGAGGGAUAACCCGUCGAAAGUCGGCCUAAUACCUCAUGGCAUCGUCUGCGGGCAUCCAACGACGAUUAAAGAUUUCAUCGGUCAGGGAUGGGGAUGCGUCUGAUUAGCUUGUUGGCGGGGUAACGGCCCACCAAGGCUACGAUCAGUAGGGGUUCUGAGAGGAAGGUCCCCCACAUUGGAACUGAGACACGGUCCAAACUCGUACGGGAGGCAGCAGUGAGGAAUAUUGGUCAAUGGGCGGGAGCCUGAACCAGCCAAGUAGCGUGCAGGAUGACGGCCCUAUGGGUUGUAAACUGCUUUUAUGCGGGGAUAAAGUGAGGGACGUGUCCUUCAUUGCAGGUACCGCAUGAAUAAGGACCGGCUAAUUCCGUG